rnacentral:lncRNA from 1 species
ACAGGUACUGACAAAGGUACUGUCUCUGACAGGUACUGACAAAGGUACUUUCUCUGACAGGUACUGACAGGGGUACUGUCUCUGACAGGUACUGACAGGGGUACUUUCUCUGACAGGUACUGACAGGGGUACUUUCUCUGACAGGUACUGACAAAGGUACUUUCUCUGACAGGUACUGACAGGGGUACUGUCUCUGACAGGUACUGACAGGGGUACUGUCUCUGACAGGUACUGACAGGGGUACUGUCUCUGACAGGUACUGACAGGGGUACUGUCUCUGACAGGUACUGACAGGGGUACUGUCUCUGACAGGUACUGACAGGGGUACUGUCUCUGACAGGUACUGACAAAGGUACUUUCUCUGACAGGUACUGACUAAGGUAUUUUUUGUGACAGGUACUGACGAAGGUACUGUCUCUAACACAGGCUCUGAUACACAAGUACUUUCCUCUGACAGUUACUGUAGUCCUCUGGGUCAAUGUGUCACUCUGUUUUACACUUUUAUCAUUAGUUACGUAAACAAAGCUUAAUAUCAUGUCAUUAGUUACGUAAACCAAGCUUAAUAUCAUGUCAUUAGUUACAUAAACAAAGCUUAAUAUCAUGUCAUUAAUUACAUAAGUUGUUUAGCACCUUUGUUAUUGUUUAUUUAUUACUGCAGUGGAACCUCGAUAUAAUGGACUUUUUUGUUUAUUCCGUUAAAUGGGGGUUUUCACAUCUAACGGAAUCUCGAUAUGAUGGACUUUCAUCUCUAUAUAUUUCGUUAAAUGGGGGUUUCACAUCUAACGAACCCUCGAUAUAACGAACUCGUCUCUAUAUAGUUCGUUAAAUGAGGGUUUCACAUCUAACGAACCCUCGAUAUAACGAACUCGUCUCUAUAUAGUUCGUUAAAUGGGGGUUUUACUGUAGAACAAUUUCUCAAUAUAUUUUUCCAUGUUAUUUCUGUAAGUAACUUAUAAAUUUCCUUAAGUAACUUAUUUCCAUGUGUAAUUUAUUUCUCACAAGUUACUUAAAUCCAUAGGUAGGUCAUUUAAGUGAUAUUGCCAUAAGUGACAGUUUUUGUAAGUGAUAUUUCCUGUAAGUAGCUUAUUUAAGUAACUUAUAAAAUAAUUUGUUAUGACCUUUUCAUUUAAGUACUUUCACACUCAAUAUAAUGGUCGAUCUUACUACA